GAUGAACGCUGGCGGCGUGCCUAAUACAUGCAAGUCGAGCGAACGGACGAGAAGCUUGCUUCUCUGAUGUUAGCGGCGGACGGGUGAGUAACACGUGGAUAACCUACCUAUAAGACUAGGAUAACUUCGGGAAACCGGAGCUAAUACCGGAUAAUAUUUUGAACCGCAUGGUUCAAAAGUGAAAGACGGUCUUGCUGUCACUUAUAGAUGGAUCCGCGCUGCAUUAGCUAGUUGGCAAGGUAACGGCUUACCAAGGCAACGAUGCAUAGCCGACCUGAGAGGGUGAUCGGCCACACUGGAACUGAGACACGGUCCAGACUCCUACGGGAGGCAGCAGUAGGGAAUCUUCCGCAAUGGGCGAAAGCCUGACGGAGCAACGCCGCGUGAGUGAUGAAGGUCUUCGGAUCGUAAAACUCUGUUAUUAGGGAAGAACAUAUGUGUAAGUAACUGUGCACAUCUUGACGGUACCUAAUCAGAAAGCCACGGCUAACUACGUG
rnacentral:rRNA from 1 species